rnacentral:rRNA from 1 species
UACGUAGGGGGGCGAGCGUUUGUCCGGAGUUACUGGGCGUAAAGGGCAUGCAGGCGGUCGGACGCGUUUUUUUUUUUUUUUUUGUGUGACAGCGGGUGGCUCAACUACCCGAGCAUGCGAAAGACGGUCGGACUUGAGGACUCGAGAGGGACACGGAAUUCCGGGGUGGAGUGGUGAAAUGCGUAGAGAUCCGGAGGAACACCGAAGGCGAAGGCAGUGUCCUGGCGAGUGACUGACGCUGAGGUGCGAAAGCCAGGGGAGCGAACGGG